UGCCUCUCUCUCCUCUCCUUAUUCAUUGGUGCGUACUCGAAAUUCUCCAUUGAAGCGCACUCGAUCUUUCCUUCUUUCUCUUUCCCCUCUUCGUUCUUUCGGUUUCCCCUCUUCGUUCUUUCUGUUUCACCUCUUCCUUCUUAUCUCUCUCUUCUCUCUCCUCAAACAAACCCUAAUCUACAGAAGAAAUCGGCCUUGAACGACCUGCUGCCCUCCUUCGAAAACCGGCAUCAAUUCGAACCAAGGACAACCAUCAUCGCCGCCAACGUCUAUUUCUUGAAUCUACAAUAUUGGAGGUUAGGGUUUCUGGGUGCGUCUAUUUUGAAUCAAUUCGAUGUGUGUGUGUCUUCAACAAGCACAAAUUCAAAUCAAUUUCGAACCAAAAAUCAGAAAUUCGAGCAGAGAUUGGUGGUGAAAGGAAGAUUUGCCCCAAAGUAUUUUGAAGGAAUAUUGAGGAGAUAUGUCAGUGAUGGACGUGGAACAUGAACUUCGAGCUCUUAGGCUUCAACUUAGAGAGAAAUCUAUAUUCCCGGCUAAUCUUCAAAAGAGGAGUUCCUUGGUGAUUAUUGAUUGCUUUAUACAAGAACAAUUCAUCCGUGUAAAAGCGCAGUUUGUUGUGGCAAGUAAUGGAGGUUGAAGUGAGGCCAAACUUGCUUUCUUCGGAUUCAGUAAAAUUUCUUCUUGAAGAUAUUAAAAAGGUUGGUGAUGUGGUGCUUGUACAGGAGGAUAACUUUAUACAGAAUGAAUUUAGAAUAGUUGGACUGGAAACCUUGAUAGGCAAUCAUUUCUCAGCACUACAAAGUGGAUUGAUGAAGUAUGGACAGAACGUGGCAGUGAUGUGAUUAUUGUCCUUGUUGGAAAUAAAACUGAUUUGGUUGACAAAAGUUGGGCUACAAGCAUCCCUCAGAAUCAGGAUCACUCCCUGGCGCAAAUGAGGCAAAGACAUGUAAUUGGAUAAUUGCAUAGCCUUGGUUAGUUGACUCAGAUGAAUGUCCUGUAAACAUCUAUGCUAAAAGAUUACCAUCUGACAGGAUCAGAAGAAAGCAGGAGCCAGAGCCCAUAUAUGUUUCCUGAUCUAGCACAUCCACUGGCCUUACAUCGAAAAGAACUAGUCAGCAUUCAACUGAAAUCUCAAGUUUUUUUUUUUUUUUUUAGUUUUUUAAAGUGUAAUAUUACAAGUUAUUG